rnacentral:rRNA from 1 species
GACGAACGCUGGCGGCGUGCCUAAUACAUGCAAGUAGAACGCUGAAGAGAGGAGCUUGCUCUUCUUGGAUGAGUUGCGAACGGGUGAGUAACGCGUAGGUAACCUGCCUUGUAGCGGGGGAUAACUAUUGGAAACGAUAGCUAAUACCGCAUAACAAUGGAUGACACAUGUCAUUUAUUUGAAAGGGGCAAUUGUUCCACUACAAGAUGGACCUGCGUUGUAUUAGCUAGUAGGUGAGGUAAUGGCUCACCUAGGCGACGAUACAUAGCCGACCUGGGAGGGUGAUCGGCCAAACUGGGACUGAGACACGGCCCAGACUCCUACGGGAGGCAGCAGUAGGGAAUCUUCGGCAAUGGGGGCAACCCUGACCGAGCAACGCCGCGUGAGUGAAGAAGGGUUUCGGAUCGUAAAGCUCUGUUGUAAGUCAAGAACGGGUGUGAGAGUGGAAAGUUCACACUGUGACGGUAGCUUACCAGAAAGGGACGGCUAACUACGUG